UACGUAGGGUGCGAGCGUUAAUCGGAAUUACUGGGCGUAAAGCGUGCGCAGGCGGUUCGGAAAGAAAGAUGUGAAAUCCCAGAGCUUAACUUUGGAACUGCAUUUUUAACUACCGAGCUAGAGUGUGUCAGAGGGAGGUGGAAUUCCGCGUGUAGCAGUGAAAUGCGUAGAUAUGCGGAGGAACACCGAUGGCGAAGGCAGCCUCCUGGGAUAACACUGACGCUCAUGCACGAAAGCGUGGGGAGCAAACAGG
rnacentral:rRNA from 1 species